rnacentral:lncRNA from 1 species
GGUGAGACAUAUCUUAAGGAGUCCAAGAUCUUUAGGACUCUUCACCCAACCCUAUUACAUGCCAAUAAAAAGGGGUCUAUUACUCACUUUUGUGCAUAUAAGAGACUAGAGAAGGAGUUCUCCAUGUUGAGGGGCUUUGGGGCAUGGUUCUUGACGUGAAAAAGUGGAGGAGAGUUCUCUCUCUUUGGGUUAGUGAAAAGGCUGUUUUCUAAGGUUUCUUCCUUA